rnacentral:rRNA from 1 species
UACGGGGGGGGCAAGCGUUGUUCGGAAUUACUGGGCGUAAAGGGCUCGUAGGCGGCCAACUAAGUCAGACGUGAAAUCCCCGGGCUUAACCUGGGAACUGCGCUUGUAACUGGCAAGCUUGAGUGUGGCAGAGGGGGGUGGAAUUCCACGUGUAGCAGUGAAAUGCGUAGAGAUGUGGAGGAACACCGAUGGCGAAGGCAGCCCCCUGGGCUAACACUGACGCUCAUGCACGAAAGCGUGGGGAGCAAACAGG